UACGUAGGGUGCGAGCGUUAAUCGGAAUUACUGGGCGUAAAGCGUGCGCAGGCGGUUCUGAAAGUCAGCUGUGAAAGCCCCGGGCUUAACCUGGGAAUGGCGGUUGAAACUACAGGACUAGAAUCUGGCAGAGGGGGGUGGAAUUCCACGUGUAGCAGUGAAAUGCGUAGAGAUGUGGAGGGACACCGAUGGCGAAGGCAGCCCCCUGGGCUGAGAUUGACGCUCAGGCACGAAAGCGUGGGGAGCAAACAGG
rnacentral:rRNA from 1 species